UUAUUAUAUAGGGUAUGCGGGGACAUCCUGGUCCUACAAGGUUUGGUUGACACCCCAGUGCUUUAAGGUAUUUUGAUUUGUCUUUUGAGUCACUUGGAGGGUGUUUCUUCUACUGCACCUAAAUUUCUUAGACUUUAAGUAAUGUUCUACCAUCAGUUCUAACAUUUUCUUAGGGUAUUCCUACUUAUAAGGUACAACCAUCUUCUAUAGUACGC
rnacentral:lncRNA from 1 species